rnacentral:rRNA from 1 species
GUCGGGAAUAUUGCUCAAUGGGCGCAAGCCUGAAGCAGCAACGCCGCGUGCGCGAUGAAGGCCUUCGGGUCGUAAAGCGCUUUUUGGUGGGAUGAGGAAGGACAGUACCGCCAGAAUAAGGAACGGCUAACUACGUGCCAGCAGCCGCGGUAAAACGUAGGUUCCGAGCGUUAUCCGGAUUUACUGGGCGUAAAGCGCGUGCAGGCGGCUCCGCAAGUCGGGCAUUAAAUCUCCGGGCUUAACUCGGAGGCGCUGUCCGAUACUGUGGGGCUUGAGGACGGGAGAGGGUGGUGGAAUUCCGCAUGUAGUGGUGAAAUGCGUAGAGAUGCGGAGGAACACCAGUGGCGAAAGCGGCCACCUGGCCCGCUCCUGACGCUCAGACGCGAAAGCUCGGGGAGCGAACGGGAUUAGAAACCCGAGUAGUCC